CGCUGGCGGCGUGCUUAAUACGUGCAAGUCAACUGAACUUAAGAUAGCAAUAUUUAAGGGAGUGGCGCACGGGUGAGUAACACGUAGGUAAUCUGCCUUUAGGUCUGACACAACCCCGAGAAAUCGGGGCUAAUAUCAGAUGAUGCAGCGGCUCGACAUCGAGACAGUUGUUAAACCUUCGGGGCCUAAAGAUGAGCCUGCGUCUGAUUAGCUGGUUGGCGGGGUAACGGCCCACCAAGGCAACGAUCAGUAGCUGGUCUGAGAGGAUGAUCAGCCACACUGGAACUGAGACACGGUCCAGACUCCUACGGGAGGCAGCAGUAAGGAAUAUUGCUCAAUGGCCGAAAGGCUGAAGCAGCAACGCCGCGUGGAGGAUGAAAUACUUUUGUAUGUAAACUCCUGUGAGAAGGGAAAAAUAUGCAGAUUUUCUGCGUUGAUUGUACCUUCAGAGGAAGCCCCGGCUAACUACGUG
rnacentral:rRNA from 1 species